CGUAUAUUGACUACGGCAGAAAAAUGAAUUUCGUCAAAAUGGUAUGCAUUUAAUGUAUUUCCUUAAAUUAAAACACUUUCAAACACUAAAAUGAUACACAUUUUGUUAUUAAUACUUAACAAUGACAACAAUGUGUUACAAUUCGUAAUUGAAAAUAGUUGACCUAGAUACAGCAACGUCCAUGUUGGCUGUUCUAACUUCAAAACCCCUCCCCC
rnacentral:lncRNA from 1 species